UGAGGAAUAUUGGUCAAUGGACGAGAGUCUGAACCAGCCAAGUAGCGUGCAGGAUGACGGCCCUAUGGGUUGUAAACUGCUUUUGUUUGGGAAUAAUCGACAUUACGUGUAAUGUUUUGCAUGUAUCAUUCGAAUAAGGACCGGCUAAUUCCGUGCCAGCAGCCGCGGUAAUACGGAAGGUCCAGGCGUUAUCCGGAUUUAUUGGGUUUAAAGGGAGUGUAGGCGGUUGGUUAAGCGUGUUGUGAAAUGUAGAUGCUCAACAUCUGACUUGCAGCUCGAACUGGCUGAGUUGAGUACACAAAACGUAGGCGGAAUUCAUGGUGUAGCGGUGGAAUGCUUGGAUAUCAUGAAGAAGUACGAUUGCGAAGGCAGCUUACGGGAGUGUUACUGACGCUUAAGCUCGAAGGAGCGGGUAUCGAACAGG
rnacentral:rRNA from 1 species